UGACACUGAGGAGCGAAAGCAUGUGGGAGAGCAACACGAUUAGAUAUCCCGGUAGAGUCAUGCGCGUGUAACGUGAGGCACUAUGAUGUGUGAGAGCAGUUCACGCUCUCCAGCUGCUGUCAGCUAACGCAAUAAAGUCGACCUCCGCCUGGGGAGUACGGUCGCAAGGACUAGAACUCAAAGGAAUUGACGGGGGCCCGCACAAGCGGCUGGAGCCUGCGGAUUAAUUCGAUGCAAACGCGAAGAACCUUAACAAGGUCUGACCUACAUCGGACAAUCCUGGAAACAGGUCGUUUUCUUUGAAGCUGGUGUACAGCUGGUGCAUCGUGGUCGUCAUCUCGUGUCGUGAGAUGAUGGGUUAAUUCCUGCAACGAGCGCAACCAUCCUUGAUUGUUGCCAGCAGCAGAUGGUGGGAAAUUAUAGGAGAAUGCCGGGGUCAAAUCGGGGGAAGGGGGGGGAGAAGUCAAAUUCUCCUGCCCCUUUUGUACUGGGGUUCCACCCUGGUUCAAUGGGUGGUACCAAGAGAGGGCAAGCCCGGGAGGCAAAGGCAAUCCUUAAAAACCGUUUCAGUUUGGGAUGUUGUGUGCAAAUUGGCUAACUGAAGUCGGGGUUGGUUGUAAUUGGAGAUUAGGCACGCUGCGGUGAAUACGUUCCCGGGCCUUGUACACACCGCCCGUCACGUCACGAAAGUCGGUAACACCCGAAGUCGGUGGCAGUAACCGUAAGG
rnacentral:rRNA from 1 species